rnacentral:tRNA from 1 species
ACACUGAUGGUGAAACGGUAUCAUGCUUGCCUUCCAUUGAAGACAGCUUCUAUGCCAGCAAGCGGCGUGGGUUCGACUCCCGCUCAGUGUA